rnacentral:rRNA from 1 species
GAUGAACGCUGGCGGCGUGCCUAAUACAUGCAAGUCGAGCGAACAGACGAGGAGCUUGCUCCUCUGACGUUAGCGGCGGACGGGUGAGUAACACGUGGAUAACCUACCUAUAAGACUGGGAUAACUUCGGGAAACCGGAGCUAAUACCGGAUAAUAUAUUGAACCGCAUGGUUCAAUAGUGAAAGACGGUUUUGCUAUCACUUAUAGAUGGAUCCGCGCCGCAUUAGCUAGUUGGUAAGGUAACGGCUUACCAAGGCAACGAUGCGUAGCCGACCUGCGAGGGUGAUCGGCCACACUGAAACUGAGACACGGUACAGACUCCUACGGGAGGCAGCAGUAGGGAAUCUUCCGCAAUGGGCGAAAGCCUGACGGAGCAACGCCGCGUGAGUGAUGAAGGUCUUCGGAUCGUAAAACUCUGUUAUUAGGGAAGAACAAAUGUGUAAGUAACUAUGCACGUCUUGACGGUACCUAAUCAGAAAGCCACGGCUAACUACGUG